rnacentral:rRNA from 1 species
GUAGGUGGCAAGCGUUGUCCGGGAAUUAUUGGGGCGUAAAGCGCGCGCAGGCGGUUCUUUAAGUCUGAUGUGAAAGCCCACGGGCUCAACCGUGGGAGGGUCAUUGGAAACUGGAGAACUUGAGUACAGAAGAGGAAAGCGGAAUUCCACGUGUAGCGGUGAAAUGCGUAGAGAUGUGGAGGAACACCAGUGGCGAAGGCGGCUUUCUGGUCUGUAACUGACGCUGAGGCGCGAAAGCGUGGGGAGCAAACAGGAUUAGAUACCCUGGUAGUCCACGCCGUAAGCGAUGAGUGCUAAGUGUUAGGGGGUUUCCGCCCCUUAGUGCUGCAGCUAACGCAUUAAGCACUCCGCCUGGGGAGUACGGCCGCAAAGGCUGA